AGUGAACGCUGGCGGUAGGCCUAACACAUGCAAGUCGAACGGCAGCACAGUAAGAGCUUGCUCUUACGGGUGGCGAGUGGCGGACGGGUGAGGAAUACAUCGGAAUCUACUUUUUCGUGGGGGAUAACGUAGGGAAACUUACGCUAAUACCGCAUACGACCUACGGGUGAAAGCAGGGGAUCUUCGGACCUUGCGCGAUUGAAUGAGCCGAUGUCGGAUUAGCCAGUUGGCGGGGUAAAGGCCCACCAAGGCGACGAUCCGUAGCUGGUCUGAGAGGAUGAUCAGCCACACUGGAACUGAGACACGGUCCAGACUCCUACGGGAGGCAGCAGUGGGGAAUAUUGGACAAUGGGCGCAAGCCUGAUCCAGCCAUACCGCGUGGGUGAAGAAGGCCUUCGGGUUGUAAAGCCCUUUUGUCGGGAAAGAAAAGCAGCAGGUUAAUACCCCGCUGUUCUGACGGUACCCAAAGAAUAAGCACCGGCUAACUUCGUG
rnacentral:rRNA from 1 species